UCAUACAAGCCGGGAGAGUAGCGGGCUCCUAAACCCGAAAUCCGCUAUAUGCGGGGGUUAUGUCCUGAUUUGAGGUGUAGCGGAGAGAAGGUCUGUAUCGAUUUUCCUGUGUUGAAAGGCGGGUUUCAGCGCAAUUGGCGGCUGUGAACCAUGUCAGGUGGGGAACCAAGCAGCAUUAAGCGGUUUAGCUGAUGUGCCGCUGAGGUGCCUGUCUGAGCAGGAAAUUUCGAUGUCGCUCUCAAAGGUGCAUCGAUUUUCAGGCGUAUGG
rnacentral:SRP_RNA from 1 species